UUUCCGUAGGUGAACCUGCGGAAGGAUCAUUCAUAAUAAAGUGUUUUAUGGCACUUUUUAAAAAUCCAUAUCCACCUUGUGUGCAAUGUUAGAUCUCGUCAAUCUUGGCGAGAUUUUCAUACAUCAACUCAUUCUUUAACUAAUUUGUCUGAAAAAUAUUAUGAAUACUUAAUUCAAAAUACAACUUUCAACAACGGAUCUCUUGGUUCUG
rnacentral:misc_RNA from 1 species